AUUGAACGCUGGCGGCAGGCCUAACACAUGCAAGUCGAACGGGUGGCGGACGGGAUGGUAAUGUCUGUGAAACUGCAUGAUGGAGGGGGAUAACUACUGGAAACGGUAGCUAAUACCGCAUACCAUCAGAUGUGCCCAGAUGGGAUUAGCUGUUUGGGGUGGUAACGGCUAACCAAGGCGACGAUCCCUAGCUGGUCUGAGAGGAUGACCAGCCACACUGGAAUUGAGACACGGUCCAGACUCCUACGUGAGGCAGCAGUGGGGAAUAUUGGACAAUGGGCGCAAGCCUGAUGCAGCAAUGCCGCGUGUAUGAAGAAGGUCUUCGGGUUGUAAAGUACUUUCAGCGGGGAGGCGUUACCCGCAGAAGAAGCACCGGCUAACUCCGUGCCAGCAGCCGCGGUAAUAC
rnacentral:rRNA from 1 species